rnacentral:rRNA from 1 species
AGUCGAACGAUGAAGCCCAGCUUGCUGGGUGGAUUAGUGGCGAACGGGUGAGUAACACGUGAGUAACCUGCCCUUGACUCUGGGAUAAGCGUUGGAAACGACGUCUAAUACCGGAUACGAGCUUCCACCGCAUGGUGAGUUGCUGGAAAGAAUUUUGGUCAAGGAUGGACUCGCGGCCUAUCAGCUUGUUGGUGAGGUAACGGCUCACCAAGGCGACGACGGGUAGCCGGCCUGAGAGGGUGACCGGCCACACUGGGACUGAGACACGGCCCAGACUCCUACGGGAGGCAGCAGUGGGGAAUAUUGCACAAUGGGCGAAAGCCUGAUGCAGCAACGCCGCGUGAGGGACGACGGCCUUCGGGUUGUAAACCUCUUUUAGCAGGGAAGAAGCGAAAGUGACGGUACCUGCAGAAAAAGCACCGGCUAACUACGUGCCAGCAGCCGCGGUAAUACGUAGGGUGCAAGCGUUGUCCGGAAUUAUUGGGCGUAAAGAGCUCGUAGGCGGUUUGUCGCGUCUGCUGUGAAAUCCCGAGGCUCAACCUCGGGUCUGCAGUGGGUACGGGCAGACUAGAGUGCGGUAGGGGAGAUUGGAAUUCCUGGUGUAGCGGUGGAAUGCGCAGAUAUCAGGAGGAACACCGAUGGCGAAGGCAGAUCUCUGGGCCGCUACUGACGCUGAGGAGCGAAAGGGUGGGGAGCAAACAGGCUUAGAUACCCUGGUAGUCCACCCCGUAAACGUUGGGCGCUAGAUGUGGGGACCAUUCCACGGUUUCCGUGUCGUAGCUAACGCAUUAAGCGCCCCGCCUGGGGAGUACGGCCGCAAGGCUAAAACUCAAAGGAAUUGACGGGGGCCCGCACAAGCGGCGGAGCAUGCGGAUUAAUUCGAUGCAACGCGAAGAACCUUACCAAGGCUUGACAUAUACGAGAACGGGCCAGAAAUGGUCAACUCUUUGGACACUCGUAAACAGGUGGUGCAUGGUUGUCGUCAGCUCGUGUCGUGAGAUGUUGGGUUAAGUCCCGCAACGAGCGCAACCCUCGUUCUAUGUUGCCAGCACGUAAUGGUGGGAACUCAUGGGAUACUGCCGGGGUCAACUCGGAGGAAGGUGGGGACGACGUCAAAUCAUCAUGCCCCUUAUGUCUUGGGCUUCACGCAUGCUACAAUGGCCAGUACAAAGGGCUGCAAUACCGUAAGGUGGAGCGAAUCCCAAAAAGCUGGUCCCAGUUCGGAUUGAGGUCUGCAACUCGACCUCAUGAAGUCGGAGUCGCUAGUAAUCGCAGAUCAGCAACGCUGCGGUGAAUACGUUCCCGGGCCUUGUACACACCGCCCGUCAAGUCAUGAAAGUCGGUAACACCCGAAGCCAGUGGCCUAACCGCAAGGAUGGAGCUGUCUAAGGUGGGAUCGGUAAUUAGGACUAAGU